rnacentral:lncRNA from 1 species
AGACCAGGCCUCGCGGCCCCGGCCGGCGUGAGCCGUACAAAAUCUACGUCACUUGGGGUAGAAAAACAAAAACACCGAAAAGCCCACGCCGGCCGCUCUGACCGGCCGACACGCUCACUUGCGGCCCUUGGGCACUUUGGGGACGCUGGGCUUGGCCGCCUUCUUCACCUUCUUGCCCCCGGCGGCCGCCGUCUUCUUGGCCUUGCCGCCUUUGUCCUUCUUGGCGCCAGCGCCCUUCUUG